GGGCGGAUAGUUCAAAGGUAGAACGCCUUAACCCCCUUGUUCACAACUUAUCCGCAAGGGUCGAAGAAUUAGGGUUAUCGCCUGCAACGCGGGAAAUAGGGGUUCGAAUCCCCUUCCGUCCA
rnacentral:tRNA from 1 species